rnacentral:rRNA from 1 species
AUGUGCGUAGGAAAUUUUUUGAAAUUACUACGUUCCCCAACACUUGAGAUCUUCAACGUUGCCCUACUGUCAAGACAGGCUUGGCAUCUUUUACAAGAACCGGACUCCCUAAGUGCUCGCAUUCUCAAGGCAGUCUACUACCCAUUGAUGACCUUAUUGGAGGCGGAGUUAGGCCCCCAUCCAUCGCAAGUCUGGCGAGCUAUUAUUGAUGGAAGAAAUGUAUUGAACCAUGGGAUCAUCAGGCGUAUUGGCGAUGGAGCAACGACCAGAAUUUGGCUCCAUAUCUGGCUUCCG